rfam:Chlorocebus sabaeus isolate 1994-021 chromosome 23, whole genome shotgun sequence.
GGAUGUGAAAGUGAUCUGGCUGUCGCUCCACUGAGUGCCAGGGUUGAUUCAGCUGAUCUGGCUGGCUAGGUGGGCGUCCCCUUCCUCCCUCACUGCUCCAUGUGCAUCUCUCCCGAAGCCCUAUGCUUGGUUUAAGAGGACGACCUUGUCCCCAGUCCAGGGUAUAGGAGUAGCUGCGUUCCCCUGCUAGAACCUCCAAAUAAGCUCUCAAGGGCAGGAGGAGAUCUUAUUUUCAUUAUUGUCUCUUCUCAUUGUAUUUGUUCCAUUUCUACCUUUUUUG